GGUCUAAUACCGGAUACUGAUCCUCGCAGGCAUCUGCGAGGUUCGAAAGCUCCGGCGGUGCAGGAUGAGCCCGCGGCCUAUCAGCUAGUUGGUGAGGUAACGGCUCACCAAGGCGACGACGGGUAGCCGGCCUGAGAGGGCGACCGGCCACACUGGGACUGAGACACGGCCCAGACUCCUACGGGAGGCAGCAGUGGGGAAUAUUGCACAAUGGGCGAAAGCCUGAUGCAGCGACGCCGCGUGAGGGAUGACGGCCUUCGGGUUGUAAACCUCUUUCAGCAGGGAAGAAGCGAAAGUGACGGUACCUGCAGAAGAAGCGCCGGCUAACUACGUGCCAGCAGCCGCGGUAAUACGUAGGGCGCAAGCGUUGUCCGGAAUUAU
rnacentral:rRNA from 1 species